CUAGAGCGGCCAGAAGGGGCGGGGGGGAGGUUAGAGGUCAGGGGUCGCGAGCCCUUCGGUGUCCCAGGGGCUGCAGUGGGAGGAGCUGCGGGCUCGGAGAAGGCGGGGAGCCGGGCCGAAGGGGCGGAGGGGACGGUGGCGGACGCGCGCAGGGGCGGCGCGCUGGGCUGGGCGCUGGCGGUGAGGGGGUUACGCGCCUCGGCUCGGCUCGGCUCGGCUCAGCGGAGGAAGGCUGAGCCCCGCCGCCCGGGCCCUGCAGCGAGUCCGGUCGGCCCCGCGCCGCGCCCCGCCCACCCCGCCCAACGGAGGGCGCGCCCGGGCGAGGCGGGGCCGAGAAGAAAAGGCGCCACCAGAGAGUGGCAUCCGCUACCAACGCCGGAGGGAGAUCGAGAACCCCCCUGGGCCCCAGCCCACCGGCGCCCAGGCUCCCCCGCCCUUAGGCCACCUUUCGCCCGCCUCCUGCCGCGAGCCAAGGCCGGCGCCCCGCCCGGAGAUGGGCAGACGCGCGGAUGGCGUGGCUCCCAGUGCCGCCAGAUCGCUGGAGCCCGGCGCCGGGGCGCUGCGCUGAAGCUCUCGAUCCGCGCUGCCUGGGAAGCCUGCAGGUGUCCUUGGCCGCUCGGCCGCCGGAGCCCAGAGCCCCGCGCCCCGGAGCGGCUCCGCCCCCCAGGCUCGGCGCUGCGCAGGACGCCCCGUCUGAGGCCCCCCCGCCCCAGCACGGCCCCCGCUGCGCAGCGCCAGCCCCGCGCCGCUCCUAGCCGCUGCCGAGCCGCGGACGCAGGACGGGAGGCUCGCUCCUGCGGGCGCGCUUGUUUUUCUGCGGCCGCCUCGCCCUGCGCAGCCCCCGCCCGCCUGAACGCCGCGCUCCGCUCAGCCCCGCCCGCCAUCCGAGCCCUGAGCUGGAUUUAUGAAUGGGGGGAAGAGGCCACAUGCCGCCGCCGCCGCCUCGUGUUGACCGCAAGCAGCCCGGGCCCGCGGAGCUCCGCCGGCUGCCGUAAGAGCGUCGGCCCGGCCCCGGCAGCCGCUCCGAGGACUUGUUGCUGCUGCGCUGCCGCCGCCGCGGGGAAGCCGGCCGCUCCCGGGACUCGGGAGCCGGAGGGUGGCCCCUGUGAGUGUGAGUGUGAGCGCGCGCGCGCCCCAGACCUUCGCAGUGAGCCUGGACUGUGCGCUAACUCGCCUUUUGAGGGUGAAAAGGGGGGGGCGUGUCCGGGGGCCCGAGCAUCUGAGUGUCCAGUCCUAGCCGGGGAGCGUGAGGGCUUGUUCCUGCCUCCCCGGGCCCCUUGCUUGGGUCCUCGGCUCGCCUUUUCCCUCCUGCCUCCCUCGCCGGAGCUGCCUGCCCAAACCCCAACCACCUGUGCACCGGAGAAACCCAACUCCUCCUGCUCCGCGCCCCGGGGGGAGGCAGGGGCAGGGCCAAGCCGCAGAGGGGGCCGCCGCCGCCUCCUGCCUCUUCUUCGUCUCCUCCCCCUCCCCCGUCUGACGCUGCCUCCUUGGGAAGGGUGUUUGGAGGGCAGCGGCCGCCCCAAG
rnacentral:lncRNA from 1 species